rnacentral:rRNA from 1 species
CCUACGGGGGGCAGCAGUGAGGAAUAUUGGUCAAUGGCCGGAAGGCUGAACCAGCCAAGCCGCGUGAAGGACGAAGGUGCCAAGCAUUGUAAACUUCUUUUGUCAAGGGACAAAAUCAGGCUCGAGAGCCUGACCGAGGGUACUUGAAGAAAAAGCAUCGGCUAACUCCGUGCCAGCAGCCGCGGUAAUACGGAGGAUGCGAGCGUUAUCCGGUUUUAUUGGGUUUAAAGGGUGCGUAGGCGGACUGUUAAGUCAGCGGUAAAAGCCCGGGGCUCAACCCCGGCGAGCCGUUGAAACUUGCGGUCUUGAGAUGUCGAGAGGUAUGCGGAAUGCGAAGUGUAGCGGUGAAAUGCUUAGAUAUGGCGCAGAACUCCGAGUGCGAAGGCAGCAUACCGGCGGCGAUCUGACGCUGAGGCACGAAAGCGUGGGUAUCGAACAGGAUUAGAUACCCUAGUAGUC